rnacentral:rRNA from 1 species
UACGUAGGGUGCGAGCGUUUAAUCGGAAUUACUGGGCGUAAAGCGUGCGCAGGCGGUUUUGUAAGUCAGAUGUGAAAGCCCCGGGCUCAACCUGGGAAUUGCAUUCGAGACUGUGUGGCUAGGGUGCGGAAGAGGGAAGCGGAAUUUCCGGUGUAGCGGUGAAAUGCGUAGAUAUCAUUUGGAACGCCAAUGGUGAAAACAGCUCGCUGGGAAUGAUCUGACACUGAGACGCGAAAGCCAGGGGAGCGAACGGG